CUCGCCAUGCUGUACAUUAAUCUGCAGUCAACCUGCCCUUCGGAGGAGGAUAAAUUCGGGAAACUGAGCUCAAUACUUCAUAAUCAUUCUGUGCUGGAAUGCUUGAAUGAUCAAAGCUACGGCGCCAAAGGAUGGGACUGUGGAACAUCAGGCUGUUGUGGAGGUAAUGGCUCCACAAACCGAUAACGUUUACGGGCUAUGGAAGUAGGAGCCUGGAGAUGGAUUCUGAGACAUGAAUCCAGGUACUACGGUACGCAGCAGGCGCGCAAACUUUGCAAUCUGCUAAUGCAGGACAAGGGAAUCUGGAGUGCUUUGUUUUAACAAAGCUUUUGCCCACUGAAAACGGGUGGGAGAAUAAGGGGUGGGUAAGACGGGUGCCAGCCACCGCGGUAAUACCCGCACCCCAAGUUAUGGUCACUGUUAUUGGGUCUAAAGCGUCCGUAGCCGGCCUAAUAAGUUCCUGGUGAAAUCUUACAGCAAACUGUAAGGCUGCUAGGAAUACUGUUAAGCUCGAGACCGGGAGAGGGCAGAGGUACUCAUAGGGUAGGGGUGAAAUCCUAUAAUCCUAUGGGGACCACCUGUGGCGAAGGCGUCUGCCUGGAACGGGUCUGACGGUGAGGGACGAAAGCUAGGGGAGCGAUCGGGAUUAGAUACCCCGGUAGUCCUAGCUGUAAACGAUGCCCGUUUGGUGUUACAUACCUCUCGGGGGUAUGUAGUGCCGGAGCGUAGGUGUUAAACGGCCACCUGGGAAUACGUCGCGAGGCUGAACUCA
rnacentral:rRNA from 1 species